UUUCCCGUCUGCUGGCAAAUUAUAGCAUGGUGCUUGCUCUGAAAAGUUAUAUGACUGGGAUUAUAUAUUUACAGUUCCCCAAGCUGUACACCGUGUGAUUAAUAGAAUUAUUUACUUAUUUAUUAUGAUGAAAUGCACUGCAAUAUGUUUGCAAGACGGACCAGAUCCAAAACCCACUGAAGACGCCCAUGAGCCCUGAGGAAUCACAUUGCCUUGCAGCCACUGUACAGCCAUGAAAACCAGCUGAAAACAAAACCGAGCCUCUUCGGAGAAAGCCCCACAAGUGACCUCUUCAGCAAAGUGGACAAAGAUUUACAUUGGCUUCUCUUCUCCCCGGCUAUCACUUACACUACAUGCACACUGUUGUUCCUCCUGCCUGUGCCAUUGUACUUCCCUUCUAACCUGUUUUCAACCUGCAAAGGCUUUUGCAAGGAAGUCAGCACACAGCAAUGGUGUGAGCUUACAGCACGUUGGCUGCUUUGUGCUAAUUUCCCAUUAGUGCACAUAGGCGGUAGUUUCGAAGAUAGGUGCGGUGCCUUGUAUGUCAGUGGGUGUUCUAAGGUCUGCAGCUGGGCAGAUGGAUCAGUACUGCCUGACAUAUCAGCUUAUAGUGCAAGGAGACCGUUACUUCAGAUGAAUUUGCUAUGGAACCGUAAAAAGCCUCUGUUAUGAAUAGUCUUCUACAGACAGGAUGAUGUAACAUCCAGUAUAAGGCACCAUAACUGUGUUGUUUACAUUUUUGGUGUGCUGUCCCAUAUAUAAAUCCCCAGUGCUCCAAAAAACAAUGCAUUAAAAGUUAAGGAUGAAUCCAAUCAAUAACCUACUGCGUUAUUCAUGGGUUCAGCAAUGCAGAGUUAAUCCUUUGGGACAAUGACAUUAGGACAUUUGAACAAAACGUACAGCACCCUGCCUAACACCCAGUCUGCACGGAGGAUAAAACCCACUGCUAUAACCUUCAUCCUCUUCCUCCAGGGAUAGAGACGUUCCUGCUCAGCACUGGAACUUCUGGAGAUGAUAAACACAAGCAACUCAUCCCCAGCUCCAUCCUGAGCACCUUCAGCAUUGCCACUCAGCACCUCAAAAUUGUGUGCGUCCAAUGCCAACUGUCCACCAUGGCAAAGGAACAAGACAUUUGCUCCAAGGGACUGCUGCUCCAUGACGAGCUCGAGAAAGAGACCGUCUGAUGGUCCCUGUGUUGCUGAGGGCUCAGCUGUCCCCCUGCCCUCCUGGACCCAUCCCGAUAGCUGUGCUCCAGAGACUGAGAACAGGGCUGGGACAGAACAGCGAGGCCCAGGCUUGGUUAUUUGACCUGUACUAUGUGAUUUUAGCCCAGAAUGGAGCUGAGAUACAGAGCCGGCCCCCAGGAGGCAGAGCUAGGAUGAAGCAGCAAAGGUGCUGAUGGACUCAGGGCUCCCAUGUGCCCCUAGAGAUGCGGCUGAGGAAUCCCAGGAUACCCAACCUGAUCCCUGCAGCAGUGCCACCUUUUUUUUUAACAAUCUCCCUUAACAGCAGAAAUUCAACCAUCGUUGGCUCUUGUCAUGCUAAUAUUUCAUCUUUCCAGUUUCAGUGUUAAUAAAGAAGGUGAAUCUUUCACACCAGUGGUUGCAGAUGUCAUGCACUUGCCUCCUGCUAUUUGGAUCCACUGUGCUGCAGAGAGUGAACCAGGCAAACCCACCUGUAGAGGAGGGAAGGGAAAGUGAAGUCCCGAGCACCAAGUAGAGUCUUGCUGGAGACCACCGAGGAGACACAGCAUCAGCAAUUGCUGACAAAGCCCAUUGCACCAUCAGAACCAAGCCAAGGAUGAAAGAACGUGACACCAAUCUGUAUUUCCAGCAACCUUUGUUGGAAAGGUGGUCUGCACUCAUGAAUACUGUUGUUAUACCUACAGCCCCCAAAGAGCAACCUACUUGAGCUGUGACAGAGCUGCUCAUAUAACCAAGGGUAUAUGGUUAUGUAGCCUGUCUGGGGAUGUAAGCACAUUUACCUGUAGACUAAAGGAGAUGACCAAAUCCUUGUAAAUGAGCACAAAACAUCGCGAUGCCUAUGCCUUCAAACACCAAAGGAUGAGCAUGAACAGUGUCUCUAGAGCCACUCCAGAGGUGUCCUGUGCUGAGAUACGACUACUGCUACUGACCACAGCUCACGUGCACGUGUCACAGGACCAGUCAAGGUGGUAAACAGAAGCUCAGUGCACCCCCCUUGGCUUGUACAGAGGUUUUGCACUGCCCAACUGGUCGGUGAGGAUGGAGGAGAUGCUGUGAUGGGGUGCUGGGAUGCUGUGCAGGACGCCGGGCAUCGUGCAAAGCUGUGGCAGUGCUGGUGCUGGGAUCCUGCUGUCACCUAUAAGGAGGAGGAGUGCAGCCAGUGCUUUUCCAGGCAGAACCACAUGGCCAGUGACAGAAGGAUCGUUGUAGCAUUUACUGAAUAACUGCUUGGAUGAUUCAUUACAUCAAAAUCCCUCUCCACUUUAAUUGCUCUAAAUGAAGAUACAAUUCACGCUGUUUGGAUGUUAAAGGGAAAACACCCUACCCUGCCACAGUGCGUGUGCACCGGAGGAAAAAUGAGAGACCAGCACAAGAGUUGUUGCAGUGGUGCAGGAUCUGUGCUGGCAUCUCCAAGGAGUUAGAAUGUCUGCUAGCAAAGUUACGG
ensembl:lncRNA